rnacentral:lncRNA from 1 species
AGAGGCAGGGUUUCUCCAUGUUGGUCAGGCUGGUCUCGAACUCCUGACCUCAGGUGAUCCACCCACCUCGGCCUCCCAAAGUGUUCGGAUUACAGGUGUGAGUCACCAUGCUUGGCCAUGCCGGUUGUUUCUGCUGCUUGCUGUGUAGACCGCUGUGAUGACCAUCUUCUUAUUGACCCUCCUUUGUCUCUGGAGCCCCGCCACCUGCCUUCUACCUGGAGCCUUCCUUCCAGGUCCUUCUUCAACAUCAGCUCCAGGAUCUGCAAGAUCUUUGGAUAUGGCCGCUGCAGAAGGAAGGAGAACCACUUCCUGGAGAAGCAGGAGUGAGCCAGGAUCUGCCACACAAGAGAGCCGGGAACCCAGGGCAUGGGUUAAGGCGAGGAGCAGGUCCGGAGGGAAGAUCUGAGGCAAAGAGAGAGCCUGUCACCUGUGCUGCCUUGAGAUGCUGACAUCUGAGGAUGCCCCAGACAGGGCCUGUGGCUGCUUUCUGAAAUAGUGCAGCACCUUCUCUGCU